UACGAAGGGGCUAGGCGUUGCUCGGAAUCACUGGGCGUAAAGCGCACGUAGGCGGAUCUUUAAGUCAGGGGUGAAAUCCUGGAGCUCAACUCCAGAACUGCCUUUGAUACUGAGGAUCUUGAGUCCGGGAGAGGUGAGUGGAACUCCGAGUGUAGAGGUGAAAUUCGUAGAUAUUCGGAAGAACACCAGUGGCGAAGGCGGCUCACUGGCCCGGUACUGACGCUGAGGAGCGAAAGCGUGGGGAGCGAACAGG
rnacentral:rRNA from 1 species